UGAUGAUAUUAGUUUGGUGCAAAAGCAAUUGCAGUUUUUUUCAUUAAAAGUAAAGUAAUGGCAGAAACUGCAAUUACUUUUGCACCAACCUAAUACUU
rnacentral:miRNA from 10 species